rnacentral:rRNA from 1 species
GCCGCGUGAGUGAUGAAUGUCUUCGGGAAGUAAAGAGCUUUCGGAAGCGACGAUGAUGACGGUAGCGUGAGAAGAAGCGCCGGGUAACUUCGUGCCAGCAGCCGCGGUAGUACGAAGGGGGCUAGCGUUGUUCGGAAUUACUGGGCGUAAAGGGCGCGUAGGCGGUGUGUCAAGUCAGGCGUGAAAGCCCCGGGCUCAACCUGGGAACAGCGCUUGAGACUGGCACGCUCGAGUUCGGGAGAGGAUGGUGGAAUUCCCAGUGUAGAGGUGAAAUUCGUAGAUAUUGGGAAGAACACCGAUGGCGAAGGCAGCCAUCUGGACCGACACUGACGCUGAGGCGCGAAAGCGUGGGGAGCAAACAGGAUAGAUACCCUGGUAGUCCACGCCGUAAACGAUGAGUGCUAGACGUCGGGGCCCUUAGGGCUUCGGUGUCGCAGCUAACGCAUUAAGCACUCCGCCUGGGGAGUACGGCCGCAAGGUUAAAACUCAAAUGAAUUGACGGGG